GACAAGAAAUAACAAUACGGGGCUUAAUGUCUUGUAAUUGGAAUGAUGGGAAUUUAAACCUCUUCCAGAGUAUCAAUUGGAGGGCAAGUCUGGUGCCAGCAGCCGCGGUAAUUCCGGCUCCAAUAGCGUAUAUUAAAAUUGUUGCAGUUAAAAAGCUCGUAGUUGAAUUUCUGCUGCAUUGCAUUUGCUCCUUGACGAGUGUCUGUAUUGCGGCUUAUUUCGGAUUAUGCUUGCAUUUUCCGGAUGUUUACUUUGAGAAAAUUAGAGUGCUCAAAGCAGGCUUUUGCCUUGAAUAGUUUAGCAUGGAAUAAUAAAGUAGGACUUUGGUUCUAUUUUGUUGGUUUUAGGUACCAAAGUAAUGUUUAAUAGGAACAGUUGGGGGCAUUCGUAUUUAACUGUCAGAGGUGAAAUUCUUAG
rnacentral:rRNA from 1 species